AAUUUUGCGGGAAUCGACAUGAAAAUGUAUGACCAGUGGGAUCUGAUCAUAUCAAGCCUCCAAGACGAAAAGCCUAUCUUAUCAAGCCUCCAAGACGAUAAAAAACAGCCACGUCUCAGCACUGUGCAUAUCCCACUGUAUAGCUUCGUUUGCAAACACGGGACAGCUAAACUACCAACUUUUGCAAAGCAUCCCAGGAAACAUCACACCAACUUUCAAAGAUGAACUUCCCAUCUAGUGUUGUAGAUGUCACAUACGGGCAAGAUUCCGUCACAUUGGCAAACAGCAUGGUCAACACUGUGGGUGAAUGGAUUGUGGCCAAAUUAGGAGAGCUGACUCAGCAGUUGAAGAAUGCGAAGGCACUUUUGGACACUGGACGGCUUGAUGAACUUAAACAGGUUUUAUCACAAACGCCUGAUUUAGUCAAUCCACCUCCAUUACCUAUUUUAAAAAUGUAUAUUGAUGCCGAAGAUGAGAUUGACGAGAUGGAGGUGGAUCAGACCGACAUUCCUGUAAUUAGAAAGACUGUUGAUCCAAAAGAAAUUUAUCAUGAAAUUAGGGAAAAUUAUAACAGGCAACAGGGAGGUAAUGACAGGGUUGUCCCUAGCGUAACCGUAGUUGAUAUGGGAAAGAGUUUAUCUGAUUUGGAGGGGUGUGUAAAGUCAUGUAGUAAAAUUUAUAACAUGUCUGAAAAUGGGGCUCGCAGAAAUGCAGCUAAUAUGGGACACUGGUUGGAAAUAUCAUUUAAAACCUUUUGGCGGGAUAAGAAAAGAGGGAAGGUAAUUUCCGCAAACUUCAACACUUGGUUGAAAAACAAUUGUAAGAUAAAAAGAACUUGGGCAAAAAUACACAGAGA